CAGCAGCCGCGGUAAUACAGAGGAUGCAAGCGUUAUCCGGAAUGAUUGGGCGUAAAGCGUCUGUAGGUGGCUUUUCAAGUCCGCCGUCAAGUCCCAGGGCUCAACCCUGGACAGGCGGUGGAAACUACCAAGCUGGAGUACGGUAGGGGCAGAGGGAAUUUCCAGUGGAGCGGUGAAAUGCGUUGAGAUCGAAAAGAGCACCAACAGCGAAAGCACUCUGCUGGGACGACACUGACACUAAGAGACGAAAGCUAGGGGAGCAAAUGGGAUUAGAUACCCCGGUAGUCCCUGUCUCUUAUAC
rnacentral:rRNA from 1 species